AUGAUAAAUAGGUUUAGUACAUUUUUAUAAGUUCUUCUUUUCUUUUCUUUCUUCUUUCUUCUUUCUUUGAUUCAAUCUCUU
rnacentral:ribozyme from 1 species